rnacentral:rRNA from 1 species
UACCCGCGCCCCCGAGUGGUGGUCGAUAUUAUUGAGCCUAAAACGUCCGUAGCCGGUCUUCUAAAUCCUUGGGUAAAUCGGGGCAGCUCAACUGUCCGAAUUCCGGGGAGACUGGGAGACUUGGGACCGGGAGAGGUCAGAGGUACUUCUGGGGUAGGGGUAAAAUCCUGGUAAUCCUGGAAGGACCACCGGUGGCGAAGGCGUCUGACUAGAACGGAUCCGACGGUGAGGGACGGAAGCCCUGGGGCGCAAACGGG